rnacentral:rRNA from 1 species
GACGAACGCUGGCGGCGUGCUUAACACAUGCAAGUCGAACGAUGACGCCCGAGCUUGCUCGGUCUGAUUAGUGGCGAACGGGUGAGUAACACGUGAGCAACCUGCCCUUCACUCUGGGAAAACCUCGGGAAAUCGGGGCUAAUACCGGAUAUGAGCUCCUGUCGCAUGGCGGGUGUUGGAAAGUUUUUCGGUGAAGGAUGGGCUCGCGGCCUAUCAGUUUGUUGGUGAGGUAGUGGCUCACCAAGGCGAUGACGGGUAGCCGGCCUGAGAGGGCGACCGGCCACACUGGGACUGAGACACGGCCCAGACUCCUACGGGAGGCAGCAGUGGGGAAUAUUGCACAAUGGGCGAAAGCCUGAUGCAGCGACGCCGCGUGAGGGAUGACGGCCUUCGGGUUGUAAACCUCUUUCAGCAGGGAAGAAGCGAAAGUGACGGUACCUGCAGAAGAAGCGCCGGCUAACUACGUG